CACAAGCGGUGGAGCAUGUGGUUAAUUCGAAGCAACGCGAAGAACCUUACCAGGUCUUGACAUCCCGAUGCUAUUUCUAGAGAUAGAAAGUUACUUCGGUACAUCGGUGACAGGUGGUGCAUGGUUGUCGUCAGCUCGUGUCGUGAGAUGUUGGGUUAAGUCCCGCAACGAGCGCAACCCCGCCGUUAGUUGCCAGCGGUUCGGCCGGGCACUCUAACGGGACUGCCCGCGAAAGCGGGAGGAAGGAGGGGACGACGUCUGGUCAGCAUGGCCCUUACGGCCUGGGCGACACACGUGCUACAAUGCCCACUACAAAGCGAUGCCACCCGGCAACGGGGAGCUAAUCGCAAAAAGGUGGGCCCAGUUCGGAUUGGGGUCUGCAACCCGACCCCAUGAAGCCGGAAUCGCUAGUAAUCGCGGAUCAGCCAUGCCGCGGUGAAUACGUUCCCGGGCCUU
rnacentral:rRNA from 1 species